rnacentral:rRNA from 1 species
UACGGAGGGUGCGAGCGUUGUCCGGAAUCAUUGGGCGUAAAGGGCGCGUAGGUGGCCCGGCAAGCGUGCGGUGAAAGUCGGGGGCUCAACCCCCGAUCGGCCGUGCGAACUGCGGGGCUGGAGCACUGUAGAGGCAGGCGGAAUUCCGGGUGUAGCGGUGGAAUGCGUAGAGAUCCGGAAGAACACCGGUGGCGAAGGCGGCCUGCUGGCAGUAGCUGACACUGAGGCGCGACAGCGUGGGGAGCAACAGG